AUCGCUUCUCAGCCUUUUGACUACUAAGAUCAAGUGUAGUAUCUGUUCUUAUCAGUUUACUAUCUGAUAUGUCCUCUUUCCGAGGACAAUAUAUUAAACAUAGGGCCUUGCCCACACUAG
ensembl:snRNA U2 U2 spliceosomal RNA